rnacentral:rRNA from 1 species
CUAAUACCGUAUACUCCAGCAAUGGGAAAGAUUUAUCGCUAUAAGAUUGGCCCGCGCAAGAUUAGCUUGUUGGUGAGGUAAAAGCUCACCAAGGCUUCGAUCUUUAGCUGGUUUGAGAGGACGAUCAGCCACACUGGGACUGAGACACGGCCCAGACUCCUACGGGAGGCAGCAGUAGGGAAUAUUGGACAAUGGGGGCAACCCUGAUCCAGCAAUGCAGCGUGAGUGACGAAGGCCUUAGGGUUGUAAA